GAUGAACGCUGGCGGCGUACCUAAUACAUGCAAGUCGAGCGAACAGACGAGGAGCUUGCUCCUCUGACGUUAGCGGCGGACGGGUGAGUAACACGUGGAUAACCUACCUAUAAGACUGGGAUAACUUCGGGAAACCGGAGCUAAUACCGGAUAAUAUAUUGAACCGCAUGGUUCAAUAGUGAAAGACGGUUUUGCUGUCACUUAUAGAUGGAUCCGCGCCGCAUUAGCUAGUUGGUAAGGUAACGGCUUACCAAGGCAACGAUGCGUAGCCGACCUGAGAGGGUGAUCGGCCACACUGGAACUGAGACACGGUCCAGACUCCUACGGGAGGCAGCAGUAGGGAAUAUUCCGCAAAGGGCGAAAGCCUGACGGAGCAACGCCGCGUGAGUGAUGAAGGUCUUCGGAUCGUAAAACUCUGUUAUUAGGGAAGAACAAAUGUGUAAGUAACUAUGCACGUCUUGACGGUACCUAAUCAGAAAGCCACGGCUAACUACGUG
rnacentral:rRNA from 1 species